GGGCGGGGCGCAGCCCGGCGCCCGCCGGGGUGCGGAGACUUGGCUUUUCCCGUCAGAGAGAAGAGACAAUGGAAGAAAACAUGUCAGGAAAUUGUGAAUAAACUUCCUGCUGCCAUUCUAUUAGGGUGCAAAAUCUGCUAUUCAAAGCUGAACUUGUGGAGGCUACUACCCUCUCCAGACCCUGUGACACUCAAGAGAGGGUCCAGUGAUCUGACUGUUUUGAGGCAGUCUGGAAGGUAUGUUCACUGCUGAGCUGAUGAACCAAACUGUUUGGCCAGCCUUGUCUCACAAACCUGUUUGCUCUUAAGAGAGAGAAGAGCUCUUCCUUACAGGCAGCUGAGGAACAUGGUGACACAGACAUAUGAAAUCCACAGCACACAGGGAUGCAAGCAUCAGGAAACAACUUGUGUGACCUCCUCUAAUUCACAGCAACAGUUUAAACAGACAGGCUGUGACUUGCUUCCCUGUAAGUGCUUCUUCAUUGGAUUACUUUCUUUCACCUUGUGCUCCUUCAGAUGUUUCUCGACUGCACUGAAGAGGCUGAGAACAGUAAGUAGAAAAAUAAUUUAGAUUUAA